rnacentral:rRNA from 1 species
CCUACGGGAGGCAGCAGUGAGGAAUAUUGGUCAAUGGCCGCAGGGCUGAACCAGCCAAGUCGCGUGAGGGAUGACGGUCCUAUGGAUGGUAAACCUCUUUUGCCAGGGAGCAAAGGGCGCCACGUGUGGCGCUUUGCGAGUACCUGAAGAACAAGCAUCGGCUACCUCCGUGCCAGCAGCCGCGGUAAUACGGAGGAUGCGAGCGUAAUCCGGAUUUAUUGGGUUAAAAGGGUGCGCAGGCGGAAUGUCAAGUCAGCGGUAAAAUCUCGGGGCUCAACCCCGUCGUGCCGUUGAAACUGGCGAUCUUGAGUGAGCGAGAAGUAUGCGGAAUUCGUGGUGUAGCGGUGAAAUGCAUAGAUAUCACGCAGAACUCCGAUUGCGAAGGCAGCAUACCGGCGCUCAACUGACGCUCAGGCACGAAAGCGUGGGUAUCGAACAGGAUUAGAUACCCUAGUAGUC